rnacentral:rRNA from 1 species
UUGAAAGGGAAACGAUUGAAGUCAGUCGUACCAGCGGGAAAUCAACCUUUCGAGUGGGGGUUUUGGAGUUUUGAAGAGUUUCAAAACCUUUGAGAUUUCAAAAAUUUCGCUCUUUUGGUGUACUUUCUCGUGGGUAGGUUAACAUCGAUUUUGAUCAUCAUAAAAAGAUUGGAGGAAUGUAGCUUCGAUCUUGUAUUGAAGUGUUAUAGCCUUUGGUAAAUGUGAUGAUUAGGAUCGAGGAUUGCAACGAAUACCCUUUUGGGCUAUCCGCCUGAUCUCUGAUACGUGGCCUUGGUAUAGAAAGCUUGCUUAUGGUAUUGAGGUAUUACGGUCAAAAGGUUAGAACGGAUUACAUUCGUUAAGGAUGUUGACGUA